rnacentral:rRNA from 1 species
AUACGUAGGGGGCGAGCGUUGUCCGGAAUUAUUGGGCGUAAAGGGUGCGUAGGCGGCAUUUUAAGUCAUUUGUGAAAUUCUACGGCUUAACCGUAGGCUUGCAGGUGAAACUGGGAUGCUUGAGUGCAGGAGAGGAGAACGGAAUUCCUGGUGUAGCGGUGAAAUGCGUAGAUAUCAGGAGGAACACCAGUGGCGAAGGCGGUUCUCUGGACUGUAACUGACGCUGAGGCACGAAAGCUGGGGUAGCGAACAGGAUUAGAUACCCUGGUAGUCCCAGCUGUAAACGAUGGAUACUAGGUGUAGGCAUCGAGGAAGAUGUCUGUGCCGCAGUUAACGCAUUAAGUAUCCCGCCUGGGGAGUACGGUCGCAAGGCUGAA